rnacentral:rRNA from 1 species
UACGUAGGGUGCAAGCGUUGUCCGGAAUUAUUGGGCGUAAAGAGCUCGUAGGCGGUUCGGUAAGUCAGCUGUGAAAUCUCCACGCUCAACGUGGAGGGGUCAGCUGAUACUGCCGUGACUUGAGUCUGGUAGGGGAGUGCGGAAUUCCCGGUGUAGCGGUGAAAUGCGCAGAUAUCGGGAGGAACACCAGUGGCGAAGGCGGCACUCUGGGCCAGUACUGACGCUGAGGAGCGAAAGCGUGGGGAGCGAACAGG